CCUUGGUUCUGCCAAGGUCUUCAACAAUGACCUGCUAUAUGAUUAACAUAGAAACCCAUCUCUUAAUCCCUACAACCAAGAUCCUUGUGGAAGUGAGAGAGGAGAGCUGAAGUUCUUUAAGGAAUUUGAUGGCAUCAUUGAGAGAACACAGGCUCACUGCCCCAGGCACUUCCACUGGAACUUUGUAUAUGACAUACAAAAGGAUUUCUCUCCUAGAUUUUCAACUGACAUCAUGUUUAAUAGAGUGGAAAUUUCAUUUUCAAAACUGAACGAAACUGUGCUUUUGUCCAAUAUUUCAGACAGUAUAUACAUAUAAUUAGGCAGGCAAAAUAACCAAGUAAAAUAAUACACCAAGUGUGGUGGUUUAAGUGAUAAAUAUUCCUCCUAGUCUUGGGCAUUUGAUACUGGAUUCUUGAUUGGCUACAUUGUUUGAGGAGGUUAUGGGACCUUUAGGGGUUGGAGCCCUGAUGA